AAAGAUGCGUCUUCUCUGACCUCCACCUCCUUUUUGCUGAAGCAAGAAAGCGCCAGUUGGGACCCAAAAGACAACAAGAUAGUCCAGGAGACCAGGAAAAUGGCGAACACACUGUACCAUAUGACCCAAUACCUGAGGAAUAGAGGCCCAAUACUGAACAAAGAAGCGUUUGUGUGUGCAGCCAAAGAUGUGAUGACAAGCGGCCAAUCGGUGACCAAGUUUAUUCAAGUCAUAGCUAACCACUGCCUGGAUGCACAGUGUGCGCUGGACCUUUCCCUUAUAGUGGAGCAGAUUCUCACCAUCACCAACCAGCUUAGCAUCCUUUCCAGGUAUGAUUAAUCAAACAGAAAAAAGUGAAUGCAAUGAGAUCUUCUUAUGUACUGCAGUGUCAAUUCUGUAACACCCGGCUGUAAAUCAUCUGAUGAGAUCCUGGUGAAGAACACACAGAACCUCCUCCAUACAGUCCUUAAAGGGGUUCAUGCAGCAGAGACCUCCUGCAUCACAGGUUUAAAGCAGCCGGAGCCCAACUCAGAUGGAGCCGAAGCGACUGCCUUGUGUUUCCAAUGGAAGAAGAACCUGCAGAUCCACCGAGCCCAGCAGACCUCCAACCUCAAAACGGAUGAGCUGGGUUUGAGGAGGAUUUCAUCACAAUCAGUCGUACCAAGUCUGGCGUCUCCAGUACAAGACGGCUCCAACUUGACACUUCAAUUAAGAGGUUACAAUAAUAGAUCACAAUAUUUGCUGUAAGGAGAUCACCCUUAGCUUUGACAAUGUCCGAGAGGUAUUUAAUAUUGCUGUGUAGUGUCUUGCAUAACUUGUGUAGCUGCAGUAAAAACGAUUCAUUCAAUGCAAUUUUAGGUCAGGUUGUAAACAUUUAAUUCACAUCAAGAUAUGUACAGUGGACUGUAUUUAAAAGGUGAUUAAAUGUACACAGAAAACAAAGCUCACCACAAAUAGACAUACAAUAAACAUGUAUUUAAAAGGCUGCAAAAACAAUACAAAUAAAAGCUCCAAAAUGGCUUAAAAUACUCAUACAAGCUCAUUUUAAGGCAGUGCUUCUCAAUUAUUUUCUGUUACGCCCCCCCCUAGCAAGAAGAAAACUAUUCGCGCCCCCCCUCCCCACCGUGACUAUCCUAACUUGUCUUGUAAGUCGUAAAAUGUUGCACUGUCGCAAACGUGACAGAAGUAACAAUGAGAGCGCCACUGCCCCCUGCUGUAGUAAACGCGCAAUUACACUUUAUUCUAGUACUGCCAAAAAAAAAGCCUGUUCCCCAGGGUCACACGCGCCCCCCC